AUUGAACGCUGGCGGCAUGCCUUACGCAUGCAAGUCGAACGGCAGCAUAGGAGCUUGCUCCUGAUGGCGAGUGGCGAACGGGUGAGUAAUAUAUCGGGACGUGCCCUAGAGUGGGGGAUAACUAGUCGAAAGACUAGCUAAUACCGCAUACGAUCUACGGAGGAAAGUGGGGGAUCGCAAGACCUCAUGCUCCUGGAGCGGCCGAUAUCUGAUUAGCUAGUUGGUGGGGUAAAAGCUCACCAAGGCGACGAUCAGUAGCUGGUCUGAGAGGACGACCAGCCGCACUGGGUCUGAGACACGGCCCAGACUCCUACGGGAGGCAGCAGUGGGGAAUUUUGGACAAUGGGGGCAACCCUGAUCCAGCAAUGCCGCGUGAGUGAAGAAGGCCUUCGGGUUGUAAGCUCUUUUGUCAGGGAAGAAACGGUUCUGGAUAAUACCUGGGACUAAUGACGGUACCUGAAGAAUAAGCACCGGCUAACUACGUGCCAGCAGCCGCGGUAA
rnacentral:rRNA from 1 species